CGUCGUGAGACAGGUUAGUUUUACCCUACUGAUGAAGUUGUUGUCGUACCAGUAGUUCAGGUUAGUACGAGAGGAACCUUUGGACCGCAUCAUUGGUAACGCGGUUGUCUGAAAAGUCAAUGCCGCAAAGCUAUCAUGCGUUCGUUCAGGGCUGAACGCCUCUAAGUCCGAAACGAUGCUGAAGGCGAUGAUAUUACAUGCUUGAUUAGUUACUACGAGUAUCUAUACAGUAAUUUUUGUAAACCGAUUGAAACCAGUGCUGUCAAAAUCAGCGCUUUCUCUCAUCACAAUUUCAACGAAUCAAGCAAGAGAUCCUUUGUAGACGACUUAGCUUGGACGGGGUACUGUAAGCAUGAGAGUAGGCCUUGCCCUACGAUCUGCUGAGAUUAA
rnacentral:rRNA from 1 species